ACGGAGGAUCCGAGCGUUAUCCGGAUUUAUUGGGUUUAAAGGGAGCGUAGGCGGGUUGUUAAGUCAGUUGUGAAAGUUUGCGGCUCAACCGUAAAAUUGCAGUUGAUACUGGCGACCUUGAGUGCAACAGAGGUAGGCGGAAUUCGUGGUGUAGCGGUGAAAUGCUUAGAUAUCACGAAGAACUCCGAUUGCGAAGGCAGCUUACUGGAUUGUAACUGACGCUGAUGCUCGAAAGUGUGGGUAUCAAACAGGAUUAGAUACCCUGGUAGUCCACACAGUAAACGAUGAAUACUCGCUGUUGGCGAUAUACAGUCAGCGGCCAAGCGAAAGCAUUAAGUAUUCCACCUGGGGAGUACGCCGGCAACGGUG
rnacentral:rRNA from 1 species